GUGGGGAAUAUUGGGCAAUGGGGGAAACCCUGACCCAGCGACGCCGCGUGAGGGAAGAAGGCCUUAGGGUCGUAAACCUCUGUUGUGUGGGAAGAAGAGCGUGACGGUACCGCACGAGGAAGUCCCGGCUAACUACGUGCCAGCAGCCGCGGUAAUACGUAGGGGACGAGCGUUGUCCGGAUUUACUGGGCGUAAAGGGCGCGUAGGCGGUCAUUUAAGUCAGCUGUGAAAUGGUGCGGCUUAACCGCAUCAUGCGGUUGAAACUGGAUGACUGGAGUGCUGGAGAGGCAAGUGGAAUUCCCAGUGUAGCGGUGAAAUGCGUAGAUAUUGGGAAGAACACCGGUGGCGAAGGCGACUUGCUGGCCAGCAACUGACGCUGAGGCGCGAAAGCCAGGGGAGCAAACGGGAUUAGAAACCCUUGUAGUCC
rnacentral:rRNA from 1 species